rnacentral:sRNA from 1 species
AAGGAUUUUAUCCCAGCCCACAGCACAUGGUACAAACCAAUCAUUACCAGGUUUCUGGCUACCCUGGUUCACAUGGAAUCACAGCCAUGGCUGGCAGCAUCUAUCCAGGUCAGGCAUCUCUUUUGGACCAAACAGAUUCAUGGAAUCAUAGACCUCAGGAGAUAGCAAUGUGGCAGCCCAAUGUGGAGGACUCUACAGCAUUGGACCUGCGAGGGAUUGGGCAAGUGUUGCCAACCCAUCUGAUGGAAGAGCGGCUAAUCCGACAGCAACAGGAAAUGGAAGAAGAUCAGCGCUGGCUGGAAAAAGAGGAAAGAUUUCUGGUAAUUGUGUUUCUGAAAGGCUUCUUCGACUUUUUAAGCCCUGUUAGAGUCUACUAUAUUGCAAAUCAUUGCAAAAUGUUAUCUUUCAAAGCAGGAGAGUUAGUUUUACAACUACUUCUUA